CCCUUAGAUGUUCUGGGCCGCACGCGCGCUACACUGACGAAUGCAACGAGCUUAUAACCUUGGCCGAAAGGUCUGGGUAAUCUCCAAAUUUCGUCGUGAUGGGGAUAGAUUAUUGCAAUUAUUAAUCUUCAACGAGGAAUGCCUAGUAAGCGCAAGUCAUCAGCUUGCGUUGAUUACGUCCCUGCCCUUUGUACACACCGCCCGUCGCUCCUACCGAUUGAAUGGUCCGGUGAAAUCUCGGGACGGCGGCUUGGUCGCUUGCGUCCGACUGCUGAAACUUGAUUAAACCAUAUCAUUUAGAGGAAGGUGAANUCGUAACA
rnacentral:rRNA from 1 species